rnacentral:misc_RNA from 1 species
AAGAAAACCAACUUUUAACUACAAAUCAGAUUUACAAAUUAAAAUGUUUGAUGAACCAAUAAUUGAAGAGACCACAAACACAAGCUCACAAGUCUCCAAUCACCAUAAAGUGCAGAUUCCAGACUACGAACGAAAACAAUGAAAUACAAAUACAAUUAUACAGCUAGCUGACUGCAUGCCAUAUAGAGGAGAUUUGCAGAGAGGAGGGAUUCGCUUAGUUGUUAUUAAUUGUUGGUGGUGAACGAUCCCAGUGCUUUUAUGGCUGUGCCUCUCAGUAUGUGCUGGUGAUAUAUUGCUGCAGCAAGUGCUCCCACAAAUGGCCCUACCCAGAAGAUCCACUGGUCAUCCCAGACUUUGUCGUUGUUAUAUAUAACAGCAGCCCCAAAGCUACGAGCCGGGUUGAUUCCAGUGCCUGUUAUGGGGAUGGUAGCUAGGUGCACCAUAAAAACUGCAAACCCAAUUGGCAAGGGAGCCAAAACAGGAACGUGAGAAUCACGCGCGUUACGCUUGGGGUCAGUGGCAGAUAACACAAUAUAGACGAGGACAAAAGUCCCAAUAAUCUCAGCUCCUAGAGCAGUUCCCUUGGAGUAUGUCGCAGCCACAGUGUUAGCACCACCUCCUUGUGCAUUAUAAAAGUCCUUCAUAAUUCCCUUAACUAUACCUACUCCACAUAUUGCUCCCAAGCACUGAGCAACCAUGUAAGCAAUUGCUCGCACCAGUGACACCUUCCUUGCCAAGAACAAACCAAA